UUCCAGACUCCUACGGGAGGCAGCAGUAGGGAAUCUUCCACAAUGGACGCAAGUCUGAUGGAGCAACGCCGCGUGAGUGAAGAAGGGUUUCGGCUCGUAAAGCUCUGUUGGUAGUGAAGAAAGAUAGAGGUAGUAACUGGCCUUUAUUUGACGGUAAUUACUUAGAAAGUCACGGCUAACUACGUGCCAGCAGCCGCGGUAAUACGUAGGUGGCAAGCGUUGUCCGGAUUUAUUGGGCGUAAAGCGAGUGCAGGCGGUUCAAUAAGUCUGAUGUGAAAGCCUUCGGCUCAACCGGAGAAUUGCAUCAGAAACUGUUGAACUUGAGUGCAGAAGAGGAGAGUGGAACUCCAUGUGUAGCGGUGGAAUGCGUAGAUAUAUGGAAGAACACCAGUGGCGAAGGCGGCUCUCUGGUCUGCAACUGACGCUGAGGCUCGAAAGCAUGGGUAGCGAACAGGAUUAGAUACCCUGGUAGUCCAUGCCGUAAACGAUGAGUGCUAAGUGUUGGGAGGUUUCCGCCUCUCAGUGCUGCAGCUAACGCAUUAAGCACUCCGCCUGGGGAGUACGACCGCAAGGUUGAAACUCAAAGGAAUUGACGGGGGCCCGCACAAG
rnacentral:rRNA from 1 species